CCUACGGGUGGCUGCAGUGGGGAAUAUUGCACAAUGGGCGAAAGCCUGAUGCAGCGACGCCGCGUGAGCGAUGAAGGACUUCGGGUUGUAAAGCCUUUUCCGCAGGGAAGAAAAUGACGGUACUUGAGGAGGAAGCCCCGGCUAACUACGUGCGAGCAGCCGCGGUAAUCCGGAGGGGGCUAGCGGUAUCCGGAAGGACUGGGCGGAAAGGGAGAGGAGGUGGUUUCGUAAGGCAGAGGUGAAAGGCUACGGCUCAACCGUCGGAAGGCUAUUAAAAUGGUGGACUUGGGGGGAGGAGAGCGGAAUUCCUAGUGUAGCGGUGAAAUGCGUAGAUAUUAGGAGGAACACCAGUGGCGAAGGCGGCUCUCUGGAGUGUAACUGACACUGAGGCACGAAAGCGUGGGGAGCAAACAGGAUUAGAUACCCGGGUAGUC
rnacentral:rRNA from 1 species